rnacentral:lncRNA from 1 species
CAGAUAUCUGGUCCCACUCCUAAUUUUCAUUGAGCAGUUUGAUUAAAGGGAUGAGGGCUUUCAUCUACAUUAAUGGAGCUGCUAAUGCUGUCACAGACCAGGCUGAUGAACAGUAUCCUAUCCCGAUGGGUCUGUCUCCAGUCAGCAAAGUCAUCUUGCAACUAAAUGACUGAGUGCCGCAGCUCCGAGCCGGAAGGGCAAGUCUGAACAACAUCACGAUAUCCGAGGCCUCAGGAGGGAAAGGAAGAGGGUGGGGGGACUGCUUUUAGAGCAUCAUUUUUCUCCGGCCCUGGCAUAUUUCUUCUAGUGGCAGUGAUUUUACUGGCGUGAGUCAGAAAGCAUGUGAGUCAUCUGUAUAAUACAUGAG